UUUUGGACAAUGGGGGCAACCCUGAUCCAGCAAUGCCGCGUGAGUGAAGAAGGCCUUCGGGUUGUAAAGCUCUUUUGUCAGGGAAGAAACGGUAGUAGCUAAUAUCUAUUACUAAUGACGGUACCUGAAGAAUAAGCACCGGUUAACUACGUCCCAGCAGCCGCGGUAAUACGUAGGGUGCAAGCGUUAAUCGGAAUUCCCGGGCGUAAAGCGGGCGCAGGCGGUUGUGGAAGUCAGAUGUGAAAUCCCCGGGCUCAACCUGGGAAUUGCAUUUGAGACUGCACGGCUAGAGUGUGUCAGAGGGGGGUAGAAUUCCACGUGUAGCAGUGAAAUGCGUAGAUAUGUGGAGGAAUACCGAUGGCGAAGGCAGCCCCCUGGGAUAACACUGACGCUCAUGCACGAAAGCGUGGGGAGCAAACAG
rnacentral:rRNA from 1 species